AACUGAUUUCCCUGCUGGAUCUCUGAGUGAGGAAGAGUCUCCUCGUCUUCCUCCUCCUUUGACACAGACGAAGGGGGAUCAGGCAGUGAGACCACCUGUUCAACAACACUUUUCCUACACUCCGAAACAGGCAGAUGCCAACGGUCUGGAAACCACCACAGACGGUGGCACACCAGCCCACACAGCACUACCAGCGAGAUCGUUGCCCAAAAUCAUCUGUACCCCAUCAAUUGGCAACGCGGGACGCACGCCGAUAGACACAACCCCCCGCACCAACUCACAAUCCAGCACUAUUGUAUGACGUGA